rnacentral:lncRNA from 1 species
CGUCUAUAUAAUUUUUAUUUUUAUAUACAUAAAGCACGAAACAUAUAUUUACAAACAGUCAUCUAAAUGUACAUAUAGCAAUCGAAAUGAAAAAUUUAAGAUACAAAAAAUAGCAAAUUGCGACACGAAUUCCAUUCACAAAGCACAUGAAUUCACACCCUGUUGUUUAUUGAGUUCGUGUGGAUCAGGUUUUUAAGUUUUAUAAGUGUUUGGAGGACUGCUCAUCCUUUUGUCGCUUGUAAGUAUUCCUCCGAGUUAUUGUCUGAAUAUUUAUCUCGGAUUUUCUAAACUACAUCGAUACAAAUUAACCAUGUAAAAUUCUGAUUGUUUUAUAAAAUUCUCUUAUAACUAAAAUGACAACUUUGUAUCACUGUUCAAAACAUGAAUUGAAUCAUACUUUUUAUUUCAACGGUUCAAAUACAUUGUUUUCAAUUUAUUACCACUGAAUAAAGAUUGUGCAUACAAAAACAUGUUUCUCAUAAACAGUAAAAAUAUCUACACAUCACAGUCAGCAAGACUCCCAUUGACAAAAGCAAUAGUAAAGCUACAACACUUUACAAAGCAUAAUAAACUCAUCAUAGAUACCAGGAUUAAAAUGAUUUAUAAUUGCGCCAGAUGCGGGUUUCGUCUCAAAAAGACUCGUCAGUGACGCUCGAAUCAAAAAAUGUUUAAAGGGCCAAAUAAAGUACGAAGUUGAAUAGCAUUGAGGACCGAAAAUUUCUAAAAGUUUUGCCAAAUACAGCUAAGGUUAUCUAUUCCUGAGGUAGAAAAGCCUUAGUUUUUCAAAAAUUCAAAGUUUUGUUAACAGUUAAUUUAUAAUUAUGAACAUAUCAUAUAGAAGUGCUGACUACUGGGCUUGUGAUACCCUCGGGGAAAAUAAAUCUCCACCAGCAGUGGCAUCGACCCAGUGGUUGCAAAUAAACUCAUCAUAGAUGAUUAUGAGUAAAAUCUAUCAUUAAUAAAUUCAAAGAUAAUUCAUUCAAAUUAGCAUUACAGAUAGUAACAAAUGUACAAAGUAGACAUAUGCUUCUACAAAAAAAAACCAGUAUAAAUACAUUGUUUUCAAUUUCACACCACCCAAUUAAGUUUCCUGCUUACAAAACACAUGUAUCCUAUAUACAGUAACUAUAUAUACACAUCACAGUCAGGAAGUCUCCCAUUAACAAAAAUAGUAGUAAGGCUACAGUAUUUUAUAAAGGAUAAAAGUGAGUAAAAUCUAUCAUAAAUCAAAUCAAAGAUAAUUCAGUCAAAUUAUCAUUACAGAUAGUAAACAAAUGUACAUAGUACAUAUAUGCUACGACAAAACAACUUAGUAUACAUACAUAAAUUGUUUUCAAUUUAACACCACCUAAUAAGUUUCUUGCGUACAAAACACAGGUUUCCUAUUGACAGAAAAAUUGUGAAGACAUCUCAGCAAUAUUUGAAUUGACAAAAGCAGUAGUAAAAAGUAAAAUCACAAAAAUACUGAACUCCGAGGAAAAUUCAAAACGGAAAGUCACUAAUCAAAUGGCAAAAUCAAAUGAUAAAACACAUCAAACCAAUGGACAACA